GUUUGGUCUCAUUUCACCAACUGUAGAUGUCUAAAUCUUAAAAUGAGAAGAAUCAUCUUCUGGAGGUACCACACUCUCUGUUGCCUCUUCGAGCCUUAGCAGAAGGGCAGAAGCAGGCACUGCCAAAGGACAAUUUAUCCCACCUGUCUGUCCUAAGAAAGAUAACUUCAGAUGACUAAGAGUAAAUCUUGUCCUUCAUGUUUCAGUGAGUGAAGUUUCAUUGGAUGAAUUUCAACCAACAACUGGAAUACUUCCAAAUUUUUCUGGGAAAAACAAAAGGCAUUUAAGAAGGUUGAGAUGUAAUCAAGUUUGGAAGAACUCUCUUUUGAAUAACUAGAAAGUUUUUUGGUUUUUUUUCCCCCCAAGACAUUAUUGUAUUACCUGUGAUUGUAUGAGUAAGUUUGUUUCACUAUGAACAUAUCAAACUUGGAUAUGACAGCCCUGGUUACUUAUGAAGUAAAUAUGCAAAAGAAUAGCAAAUCAGAAUUUGAAGCCACAUUUCAGAAUCAAGUGCAAGCUCAAUGA
rnacentral:lncRNA from 1 species